UACGUAGGGUGCAAGCGUUGUCCGGAAUUAUUGGGCGUAAAGAGCUCGUAGGCGGUUUGUUGCGUCGGCUGUGAAAUCCCGAGGCUCAACCUCGGGUCUGCAGUCGAUACGAGCAAACUAGAGUGUUGCAGGGGAGACUGGAAUUCCUGGUGUAGCGGUGAAAUGCGCAGAUAUCGGGAGGAACACCGGUGGCGAAGGCGGGUCUCUGGGCAACAACUGACGCUGAGGCACGAAAGCGUGGGGAGCAAACAGG
rnacentral:rRNA from 1 species